CCAGAAGAGGGAUUGCUGGACCAUGUGGUUAUUUAUUUCAUGUUUCAUUUAUCUGAGAUAACAAAAGAACAGCUAUUUUUAGACAUCCUCAACUACUAUUUGAAUGACCCAGAUGGACACAUUCCUCAGUGGCCGCUCUGCAGUUGUCUCCUGUGUGGACUGCAGGCCAGCUCGUCAGUGCUUUCACUAAUAAAAUGCAGAGGAAGUGACACUUGGCCAGCUCCCAAGCUGACCCUUAAUGGACCUGGCAGCUUCUACUUCCUUCAUCCUGGAAUGCUUACUGUUGGCACAGUCCUUCUUGGAAGCCAGCCACCGUGCUCUGAGGCGAUACAGGAAGCCGCAUGCAGAUACCACACAGAGAAGAACCAAGGUCCACAGCAGACAGCCCUGAUUCAACUCCUAGUCAAGGUCCUAAAACAUCCGCAUUCCAGCCAUUCCAACCCCGCCUAGUCCCUGCUCAGCUCCCAGAAGACUUCAGAUCCUUACUGUCCGAGCUUAACGCAGAAGAUCCACCCUGUGAGAGACAACCCAUUGUUAUUUUAAGCCACAAAGUUUUGCGGUCACUUGUUACAUUGCAUUAGAUAAAUGAAACAAAGCAACUUCAAGCCUUUAGAGAAAGAGAAAAACGUGUUACAUUGAAUCGUAUGGGUAGAACUUGAGAUAUCAGUACAGGGCCUUCAGACUUUAAAUAUCUCAGGGCUUUACAAAACACAUGUAAGGUGCGUGGUGGGAAAUGACCCCUCAAAUAGUCCAAGCCUGCCUAAAACCAGCAGAUCCAGCUACCCUAGGACAGAACCUGGGCUAGCUCUUCCCAUCCUCUUCCCGAAGGAGGCAGCCAAGAGCUUCUCUUACACAUGUGGCUUGGCUUCAGGGACAUUUGAACUCUUAAUCAGAAGCUUCCUUCUUUGCGGCUAAGCACCCGGUCACGCUUUUGGAAGAUUGCAGGGUUCACACCUGAGGACCUGCUCUGCCCUUGGGGAAGAAGGAGUGGAAGGUCACGGGAACUUUGUUAUUCAUUAACACAUAGUGAGCAUAGACUGUGCACCAUGUGGGUGCUGUGUGUGGGCACCGUGCACAUGUCAGGUAAGUAGAGGAGACGUCAGGUAAGUAGAGGAGACAUUUUCUUCUUGUCACAGAGACUAUUACCCAGUAAAGACAUGGGAAAAUGAGCUGAAAGACAGCACAAGUGCCACGUCUCUUCCUGCACUGGGAGCCGUUCGCAUGGUUUUGUUUCUGUGGAGUGUUCUGUCACUUGGGGUCAGUGCAUAUGACCUCAUGGCAAUCCAUUGAGAGCACUGGUUCUCAAUCUUCCUAAUACCAAGUUGUGGUGAUCUCCCCCAUCCAUAAAGUUAUUUUUAC
rnacentral:sRNA from 1 species